GCCAACCUCCCCUUCUUUUUGAGAAAACCUCUUUCCUUUUUUUUAUACUCAGCCAACUCUAUGGCAUCCACCCGAACAUACAAUUCACGCGCCUCAGAAUACUGCGUAGUGUCCAUUAAUUGCCCGUACCAGGUCAAGCACCCUAUUCCUUUCCUUUCUAUAUCUAAGAUUGCAAACGCUUUGCAGGAACAAUUAUUCAAGCACAGUUGCUCACACUCUGUACUACUCAAACUUGUGUUCAUCAAAGCAGCUAUUGAAGUAUCAGGAACCUUCAAAUGCUCGACCUUAACAAACCCUUCUCCAUUUCUGCACAUUGACAUCGUUUGCUCUCGCUUCCUCACACACCCAGCAGAGCCAUCUCUGAGAUACCAAUUCUUUAUGGNUGGGCUCAUACCCUGGCAGGCACAUGCAGUCUAGACUAUCAAAAUUGUUGGCGUUCAAUAUACUGUAUCCACCACAAUGUCCGUAGAUGUACUUAGGAUCUGAACGGGAUACCCUCCACUGAUAGGAACUAUUAUCCCAAGUAAGCCGCUGGACCAAUCCAGAGUUGUUAACCACAUUUCUUGUGGGAAUAGAUUCAUCAACCUCUGAAUGGAAAGAGUAGUAUAUCUCAUCUUGAUUGUUAGUAGAAGUAGAUGAGAUGAAUAACCGGGCACUGGUGUAGGUCCCCAGGGCCAUGGGGGGCUUCUCCAAUAUGGGAUUAAACCGUUGUACAAAAAGAACUGGGGACAGCCACUGGGGUUGAGUCUGUACAACCAGUCCCCUUUUCCUGGAUCAUCCGCUGAUCUCCAUGACGUUAAGGACCGUUCUAGGCCAAUUCUCCUGUCCAACCCAAGUUUCAUACCUGGAAGCAUGGUAUCUGUGGGAUAGUCGAAGCUUUGCCAAAAAAUUCUUUUGCUUUCAUCAUUUGGGACCAAAACCAGAUUUCCCGAAUCUAGGAGACGAGCCACACAAUCCACUGUUCCUUCCAUUGAAACAUUAGUGGACCAGAAAGGAAGUCCUCUGUCAUGAUUGUUAUAGAGCUCAAGGUUUCCAUCUGGGGCUAGGAAAAGGACUCCUGAAGUGUCAUUAAUGGGAUUGUUCCUGUUCGCAACCCACACCACAGUUUGUUCUGGUAGUUUGUGAUACCAAAUGCCAAGAUAUUUAUAUUUAGAGUUGCCAGGACUGAAAAAUCCCAGUGCAAAAAUUUCUUUUCUGGACAGUAGAAGGUUGCUGCCUGUGAUGGAUUGAUUUAAGGUUAUGGCAGAAAUGGAAAGACAAGAUGGGAAGAGGAGGACUAGAAGCAAGGAGUUGAGAAGAACUUCUACACUAUCCAUGGUUGAGACUUUU
rnacentral:misc_RNA from 1 species